CCGCCCCAAACCUACGAGCUGCACUGCCUGAACUCACUGAUGAUCUGCUUCAGGAGAUGACUAAACCACCCCUGAGGUCCUACGACCCUAACUUGAUCCAAGAACCAACUGUUUACAGGUUGAAUGAAGCAGUUAUGCAUUUUGGUGAAAGCAUAAAGGAAAUUAUCAAUGAGGAGUUUGGUGAUGGCAUCAUGUCGGCCAUAGAUUUCUACUGCUCUGUUGAUAA
rnacentral:misc_RNA from 1 species